rnacentral:rRNA from 1 species
AGAACGAACGCUGGCGGCAGGCUUAACACAUGCAAGUCGAACGGUUGUAGCAAUACAGCAGUGGCGCACGGGUGAGUAACGCGUGGGAACAUACCUUAGAGUUCGGAAUAACAGCGGGAAACUGCUGCUAAUACCGGAUAUUCUCUCCGGAGGAAAGAUUUAUCGCUCUAAGAUUGGCCCGCGUCAGAUUAGCUAGUUGGUGGGGUAAUGGCCUACCAAGGCUUCGAUCUGUAGCUGGUCUGAGAGGACGACCAGCCACACUGGAACUGAGACACGGUCCAGACUCCUACGGGAGGCAGCAGUGGGGAAUAUUGGACAAUGGGCGAAAGCCUGAUCCAGCCAUGCCGCGUGAGUGAUGAAGGCCUUAGGGUUGUAAAGCUCUUUGUCAGGGAAGAUAAUGACGGUACCUGAAGAAUAAGCACCGGCUAACUUCGUGCCAGCAGCCG